UGGCAGUUGAAUCGAAUCGACACUAGCCUCCUCUACCGGCCUGAUGUCCUCUCUAUUAUCUUUUCUCUUGCUCCACCUCUUACACCAUUGAUGAGCGUCUUAUUAGCGACAGCAACAAUGACAUUACCUAUUGAUGAUGCUCAUGCCUUUGCAUCGGACCUUAAGGAGAUCAUCCAUGCCCCAUGCCUCAAGGAGGCGGACUGGCUCCAAUGGUAGGCAGAGUUAUAGGUGGAGCGAAAGAAGAAAAUCGGAAAAAAAAAUAUGUGAACCAAACAUCUUUUCUAUC
rnacentral:lncRNA from 1 species